rnacentral:rRNA from 1 species
GGGGAAUCUUGCGCAAUGGGGGAACCCUGACGCAGCGACGCCGCGUGCGGGACGGAGGCCUUCGGGUCGUAAACCGCUUUCAGCAGGGAAGAGUCAAGACUGUACCUGCAGAAGAAGCCCCGGCUAACUACGUGCCAGCAGCCGCGGUAAUA